rnacentral:tRNA from 1 species
GCGGUGUUAGCUCAGCUGGGAGAGCAUAUCCCUUACAAGGAUAGGGUCGGGGGUUCGAGCCCCUCACACCGCACCA